rnacentral:rRNA from 1 species
AACGAACGCUGGCGGCAUGCCUAACACAUGCAAGUCGAACGAGACCUUCGGGUCUAGUGGCGCACGGGUGCGUAACGCGUGGGAACCUGCCCUUAGGUUCGGAAUAACUCCCCGAAAGGGGUGCUAAUACCGGAUAAUGUCUUCGGACCAAAGAUUUAUCGCCUUUGGAUGGGCCCGCGUUAGAUUAGCUAGUUGGUAGGGUAAAAGCCUACCAAGGCGACGAUCCAUAGCUGGUCUGAGAGGAUGAUCAGCCACACUGGGACUGAGACACGGCCCAGACUCCUACGGGAGGCAGCAGUGGGGAAUAUUGGACAAUGGGCGAAAGCCUGAUCCAGCAAUGCCGCGGGAGUGAUGAAGGCCUUAGGGUUGUAAAGCUCUUUUACCCGGGAUGAUAAUGACAGUACCGGGAGAAUAAGCUCCGGCUAACUCCGU